GAAUUAUUGAAGAUGGUAUAUUGAACAAAAGCUUCAGCAGUUUUCUUUUGAAAGACAAAAGCUUACAAGCGUUUAGUAAAUAAUGAACAUAAUUAACUAUAAUUUUUUUUUGUUACUAUGUUAUAUGUACGAAAUUGUAUUGGCAUUUAACAAUGACUAAUCUCCGUCAUCCAUCGGAGAACCAUUAGCUAUAUCUAUAUUAAAGGGAAAAAGAAAUAGUUUGCUUGAUACAAAAAUCAGAGUUUCGGCGAUUUUUCAUCAUACACAAACACAGGUCUUUUCAAAUUUUAAAAAUAACCUAUAUAUUAAUCUCAAUCAAACACAAAAUCCAAGUAUUACUCUUGGUAACUAUAUGCAUCAGCAUUGUCAAUAAUUAAUCUCCUUCAGAGAACCUAGCUAAACCACCUUUAGGGAAGUCUCCCCUCCUAACCACAUUUUUUUUUCACCCAUAUGGUUCAAUAAACAUUCCUAAUAUGAUGAUAUACACCUACAAAUAAAAAUUAAACAAAAUUCCUAAAGAACAACUAUAAAAUUUAUAAUUUUCGUAAAAGAAAAACUAAAAUUUAUAAUCUCACAUCAACAAUCAUGCCUGUCAGAUCAAAAGGCUCCCUUGAUGUACAAAAGCUCAACCAGUAUACCACAGUAGAGGACAUCAUCAACACAGUUCUUCAGC
rnacentral:lncRNA from 1 species